CGUGUAGGCGGUCUGGUAAGUGGGAUGUGAAAUGCCCCGGCUCACCCGGGGACCUGCAUCCCAAACUACCUGGCUUGAGUAUGGGAGAGGAUGAGGGAAUUCCUGGUGUAGCGGUGAAAUGCGUAGAUAUCAGGAGGAACACCGGUGGCGAAAGCGCUCAUCUGGCCCAAUACUGACGCUGAGGCGCGAAAGCUAGGGGAGCAAACG
rnacentral:rRNA from 1 species